CUACGGGACGCACCAGCUAAGAAUCUUCCGCAAUGGGCGCAAGCCUGACGGAGCGACGCCGCGUGAACGAAGAAGGCCGUGAGGUUGUAAAGUUCUUUUCUUGGGGAGGAAUAAGCCCUGCAGGGAAUGGCAGGGUGAUGACGUGAACCGAGGAAUAAGCCCCGGCUAAUUACGUGCCAGCAGCCGCGGUAACACGUAAGGGGCGAGCGUUGUUCGGAAUUAUUGGGCGUAAAGGGCGCGUAGGCGGGAAUGCAAGCCUGAUGUGAAAUACCCCGGCUCAACUGGGGGGGCGCGUUGGGAACUGUAUUUCAUGAGUAUAAGAGGGGAUGUUGGAAUUCCAGGUGUAGGGGUGAAAUCUGUAGAUAUCUGGAAGAACACCGGUGGCGAAGGCGAACAUCUGGCUAUAUACUGACGCUGAGGCGCGAAAGCGUGGGGAGCGAACAGGAUUAAUACCCGAGUAGUC
rnacentral:rRNA from 1 species